GCCAACGUGGUGUAGUGGUUUGAACAAUGGACUGUGACUUUGGAGACCAGGGUUCAGUUCCCUGCUUAGCCA